rnacentral:rRNA from 1 species
CCUACGGGAGGCAGCAGUGGGGAAUAUUGCACAAUGGGGGAAACCCUGAUGCAGCGACGCCGCGUGAGUGAAGAAGUAUUUCGGUAUGUAAAGCUCUAUCAGCAGGGAAGAAAAUGACGGCACCUGUUUAAGAAGCCCCGGCUAACUACGUGCCAGCAGCCGCGGUAAUACUGAGGGGGCAAGCGUUAUUCGGAUUUACUGGGGGUAAAGGGAGCGUAGAUGGCAGCACAAGUCUGGAGUGAAAUGCCGGGGCUUAACCCCGGAACGGCUUUGGAAACUGGGGAGCUAGAGUGCAGGAGAGGUAAGUGGAAUUCCUGGUGUAGCGGUGAAAUGCGUAGAUAUUAGGAGGAACACCAGUGGCGAAGGCGGCUUACUGGACUGUGACUGACGUUGAGGCACGAAAGCGUGGGGAGCGAACAGGAUUAGAUACCCGGGUAGUC